CCUACGGGUGGCAGCAGUCGAGAAUCAUUCACAAUGGUGGAAACCCUGAUGGUGCGACGCCGCGUGGGGGAAUGAAGGUCUUCGGAUUGUAAACCCCUGUCAUGUGGGAGCAAAUUAAAAAGAUAGUACCACAAGAGGAAGAGACGGCUAACUCUGUGCCAGCAGCCGCGGUAAUACAGAGGUCUCAAGCGUUGUUCGGAAUCACUGGGCGUAAAGCGUGCGUAGGCUGUUUCGUAAGUCGUGUGUGAAAGGCGCGGGCUCAACCCGCGGACGGCACAUGAUACUGGGAGACUAGAGUAAGGGAGGGGGAACCGGAAUUCGCGGUGUAGCAGUGAAAUGCGUAGAUAUCGAGAGGAACACUCGUGGCGAAGGCGGGUUCCUGGACAUUAACUGACGCUGAGGCACGAAGGCCAGGGGAGCGAAAGGGAUUAGAUACCCGGGUAGUC
rnacentral:rRNA from 1 species